rnacentral:rRNA from 1 species
UACAGAGGUCUCAAGCGUUGUUCGGAUUCAUUGGGCGUAAAGGGUGUGUAGGUGGCGCGCUAAGUCGGGUGUGAAAUUUCGGAGCUUAACUCCGAAACUGCAUUCGAUACUGGCGUGCUUGAGGACUGGAGAGGAGACUGGAAUUCCUGGUGUAGCGGUGGAAUGCGCAGAUAUCAGGAGGAACACCGGUGGCGAAGGCGGGUCUCUGGGCAGUAACUGACGCUGAGGAGCGAAAGCGUGGGGAGCGAACAGG